GGAGAUAUAGCUCAGUGGUAGAGUACUUGCUUAGUAUACAAGAGGCCUGGGUUCAAUCCUCAGUGCCA
rnacentral:tRNA from 1 species